rnacentral:rRNA from 1 species
AUCUAUGACCAUACCACCUUGAACUUGCCAGAUCAAAUCUGAUCUUGGAAGCUAAGCAGGGCUGGACCCGGUUCGUACUUAGACGGGAGAAAUAAUUU